UCCUUGGAACAGGACGUCACAGAGGGUGAGAAUCCCGUGCGAUGAGAUGCCCAAUUCUAUGUAAAGUGCUUUCGAAGAGUCGAGUUGUUUGGGAAUGCAGCUCUAAGUGGGUGGUAAAUUCCAUCUAAAGCUAAAUAUUGGCGAGAGACCGAUAGCGAACAAGUACAGUGAUGGAAAGAUGAAAAGAACUUUGAAAAGAGAGUGAAAAAGUACGUGAAAUUGUUGAAAGGGAAGGGCUUGAGAUCAGACUUGGUAUUUUGCGAUCCUUUCCUUCUUGGUUGGGUUCCUCGCAGCUUACUGGGCCAGCAUCGGUUUGGAUGGUAGGAUAAUGACUAAGGAAUGUGGCUCUACUUCGGUGGAGUGUUAUAGCCUUGGUUGAUACUGCCUGUCUAGACCGAGGACUGCGUCUUUGACUAGGAUGUUGGCAUAAUGAUCUUAAGCCAC
rnacentral:rRNA from 1 species